UACAUUUAUUUCGAUCCUUGUUUUGAAAUAUUGCAUCUCUCUCUCUCUCUCGCACACUGUACAUAUGCAUGUUGUUUUCUUGUCUCUAAACUAAUUUUAUGAAGAAGAAAGAAGAACAAUGAAAGAAAACGAGAGAAGUCGAAAAGGUGAAGCUCUUUGUAGAACAAAACUAACAGAGCAUUUUUGGUUCCUUCAUAUCACUGUCUUAAAAUUGCACACACUCGAUGCUUACAUUCAGUUGGAAUCCAAGGUGGAUUCACAUUCAUUACAAAAGCAAUCUCAACCCUUCAUCUAGCUAUAUGCUAGGAUCAUGACACCUGGCAUUAUUUGCCUUACAACUAUAUAUCUUCUCACUUAGAAUUUUAUCAUAAGUGCCUACACAUUUUAAUAUCACAACUUAUUUCAAUAACAGCUAUAGACUUAUAGUUCAACACUCCCCUUUAAGUCUAAAGCUGAUUUGACCCCAAGCUUGCUUCUGAGAAAAUUAAACCGAUCCUUGGCGAGAGACUUUGUAAAGAUAUCUGCCAAUUGCUCUUCUGUGGGACAAUAGAUCAGAUCAAUGAUGCCUUCCUUUAGUGCAUCUUUGAUAAAGUGAUACCUCCUGUCAAUGUGUUUAGUCUUCUGAUGAAAUACAGAAUUCUUAGUAAUUGCAAUAGCAGAAGUAUUAUCACAGUGAAGAGGAGUAGCUUCAGUUUGUAAUUCUCCAAAAUCUUCCAAAACAAACCUCAGCCAUAUUGUUUGAGCCAUGGCUUCUGAUGCACUUACAUAUUCAGCCUCUGCAGUUGAGAGUGCAACAUACUUUUGUUUGACAGAAGCCCAAGAAAAUACACCACUACCAAAUGAGAAUGCAUAUCCUGAUGUGCUUUUGCUGUCCUCCAAUGAACCACCCCAAUCACUGUCACAAAAACCAAUUAAACAAGCUUUUCUUCCUUUUACAUACUCCAGGCCAUAAUCCAAAGUCCCCUUGAUGUACCUGAGCACCCUCUUUGCAGUUCCAUAGUGCCUAUUAGUAGGACAAUGCAUAAAUCUUGCCAAUAAACUUGCUGCAUACAUUAUAUUCGGCCUUGUAGCUGUAAGAUAUAAGAGACUUCCCACAAUACUCCUAUACAUCUCCUCAUUUGCAGAUCCACUUCCAUCAUCUUUAGACAAUUUCUCAGUAGCUACAAGAGGGGUUGAAACAGUCUUUGCUUCAUUUAAUCCAAACUUGCUCAGUAAAGAACUUGCAUAUUUCGUCUGAUGAAUGAAAAUGCUAGAAUCUGUUUGAAUCACUCCCAUCCCAAGAAAAUGAUGAAGAAGUCCCAGAUCUGUCAUUACAUACUUCAUCUUCAUAUCUUCCUUGAACUCUUCUAGCAUUGACUUGCUACUACCAGUGUAGACUAUAUCAUCUACAUAGAUGGAAACAAUCAAAACAUCUUCUCCCCUUGUCUUUAUAUAUAGAGUUGGUCCACUCAAGCUUUUCUUGAAAUCACAUUGUGAGAAAUGAUUGUCAAUUUCUCCAUACCAAGCUCUUGGAGCUUGCUUUAGACCAUAGAGAGCCUUAUGCAGCUUGUACACUUUGUCCUCCUUGCCUUUUACUACAAAGCCUUCAGGUUGCUCAACAUAAACCUCUUCUUGCAAUACUCCAUUCAAGAAAGCUGAUUUCACAUCUAACUGAUACAACUUCCAACUCUUUUGUGCAGCCAAGGCUAUCAAAGUUCUGAUAGUCUCUAAUCUAGCAACCGGUGCAUAGGUCUCAUUGUAGUCUAGACUAGGCUUUUGUGCAUACCCCUUUGCAACCAGCCUUGCUUUGUUCUUCAACACUGAGCCAUCAAGAUUUAACUUUGUUUUGUAGACCCAUUUAACCCCUAUAACAGGUUUUCCAGUUGGUCUGUCAACAAGCUCCCAGGUGCCAUUCUUCUCAAUCAUGAAUAAUUCAUCCUCCAUAGCCUUUAACCAAGACUCAUCUUGUUUGGCAUCCUCAUAUUUUUCUGGAUCCAUGACACACAGGUUGCAUUGAGCCAACACAUCACUCAGAUUCCUCCACUUCAAUGGUGUGUGAUCAUAUGCUUGAUUGACAUCCUUAUCCAAAUUUAACAUGCUUGCAGAUUCCUCUGUAAUGAGUGACUUGGAUUGAACUUCAGAGUCUUCAAUACUUAGCACUCUCCUAGAUGGAGAUAAUGCAGAUGAUGUAGGAGAUAGUACCAAACUGUCAUCAAUUCCUAUGUUUGCAUCAUUAUAAACAAAACUUCCUGUAUUGUGAGUAAUAGACUUUGAAGACUUUUCUUCCCAAUUCCAGAUAGCUUCUUCAUCAAACACAAUGUCUCUAAACAAAAUUAGUUUCUUAGAGAGUGGAUCAAAUACCUUAUACCUUUUUUCGCAGAUUGCAUAUCCCACAAAUACUCCUUUGAAGCCUUUUAGGUUCAAGUUUGUCUCUGUUCACUUGGAACAUGAACAUAACAUAGAGAUCCAAAUACUCUCAGGUGGGCUAUCCUUGGUUUUCUACCGGAAUAAGCUUCAAAAGGUGUGAUGUUGUUCAAAGCCUUUGUGGGACAUCGAUUUAGGAUAUAUACAGAUGUAUGAACUGCUUCUGCCCAGAGAGAAUAUGGCAUCCUCUUCUCAUGCAACAUAGCUUUUGCCAUUUGAAUCACGGUUCUGUUCUUCCUCUCCACUACUCCAUUUUGUUGUGGAGUAUAUGCAAGAGUAAGUUGUCUUUGUAUUCCUUCUUUUUCACAGAACUGAUCAAAUGCUGAUGACUUGAACUCCCCUCAUCUAUCACUUCUCAGAGUCUUAAUCUUGAAAUCACUUUGUAAUUCUGCCAUAGCUUUGAAUUUCUUAAAACAGUUGAAUGCAUCAGACUUAUAUCUCAAGAAAUAGACCCAAAUCAUUCUGGUAAAAUCAUCUAUCAGCAGCAUGAAAUACUUAUUUCCAGCAAUUGUCUCAGUCUUCAUAGGUCCACACAAAUCAACAUGAAUCAGUUCAAGUGGAGCAGUUGCUCUGUGCACUUGAUUUCUUGGGAAUUCUUCUCUGUGUUGUUUACCAAAUUGGCAACCUUCACAGACUCCAUUGUAGUCUGUAAGCUGUGGCAAACCAUGUACCAUUUCCUUGUCUCUCAAUUGUUUGAGACCACCAAAGUGUAAAUGUCCAAGUCUCCUGUGCCAAGUCUCAGUAGAGUGAGUGACACUAGCUUUCAACACCAUUUGAUUCUCAGAGAGCAAAGUCAGUGGAUAACACCUAUUCACUUUCUUUUUCACUCUCAUAACCAAGCAUUCCAGUGAUGGACCAUCAUACACACUGCACAUUCCACCUCCAAACACCAAGAAAUAUCCAUGCUCAUCCAUUUGACCAACACUGAGUAAGUUCUCCUUUAAACUGGGAAGAUACAUUACUUCUCUAACAUACUUUCUGCCUUUAUUUGUAUCAAUAACCAAUGAUCCCAUUCCUGCAACAUUCACAAGAUCUCCAGCCGGCAUUUGAACUUUGCCAGCUACAUUGGUUCUGACCUCAACAAGCAAAUCUACAUUUCCUGUCAUGUGAUUGCUACAACCACUAUCUAUGUACCACUCUCCAUUCACCUUUGGUUCUGACUGUGUUGUUUGCAUAAAACAGAUUCCCUAUCCUCUCCAAUUGAUUUGCACUGUUUGCCUUUUGCACUGUUUUAGCUGCAGUACAUUCUCUAGCCCAAUGCCCAAAUUUGUCACAAUUGAAGCAUUUUGGUUUCCCUUUGUAUCUACACUCACCAAAAUGAUAUUUAGAACACACUUUGCAUUGAGGUUUUGUGACUUCUUGACUCAUUGAUCGGGAUACAUUCAAAUUCUGAUAAGUAUUUAGAGGAGAUUUCUGCUGGAAUUUAGGUUUUGAUUCCCAUUUCUUGCAUUUAGAAUUCCAGUUUCUUUGAGAUCUGGAUGAAACAGAGUAAACACCACUCUUAUUUUGUUCCUUUUGAUUCACAGAGAGAGAAGAGAAUGCUCUCUCAGUUGCAUUAACAGUAUGCAAGUCAAACCGUUGUUCUUGGCUUUUUAAAAUUGCAACUACCUCCUGCAACUCUACAGUCUCCAAACACUUUGUAUUCUCGAUAACUAGACAUAUGGGGUCAUAUGGUUUACUAAGGCUUAUCAAGACCUUAUGUACUAAUCUCUCAUUUGAAAGAAUUUCACCAAACGUUUUCAUCUGAUUUAUCACAUCAUUUAGCCUAGUAAGAUACCCAGACAGAGUUUCAUCAUCACGCAUUUUGGCAUACUCAAAUUCACGUCUCAGAUUUUGCAAUUUUACAGAUCAUACCUGAUCACCACCGUGAUAUUCUCCAUACAGCAAAUCCCAAGCCAUCUUUGCUGAUUCAGCAUUAGCAAUUCGAGGGAAGAUCUGAUCCGAGACUGCAUUCUGAAUGAUCCCAGAGCCUUUGCGUCUUGCAUAUAUGCAGCCACAGUUUUCUCAUCUUCUUCCUCUUCUGAACUUCCUUCAGCUUUCUUCUUCUCCUUUGAAUCUGAGUUCGUAACUCCUUUUUCCACUAAUCUCCAUAACCCAUGAGAUUUGAAAAUCGUCAUCAUCUUGAUUCUCCAGAACUCGUAGUUCUCACUGGAGAAGAUUGGAGUUCUCACCUCAGAACUUCCAGAUCCAGCCAUCUCUUAGCUUAGAUGAUACGAGCACAAAUCGAAAAACAGGUUCUAUGGAAUUCCGGCGACUGUUCACCUAGCUUCGAGUGAGCUUCGAUUCAGCUCAGGGAAAUCACAGAUUUUCGCCCAGACUCAGAUGAUUGAACUAGGCUCUGAUACCAUGUUGUUUUUCUUGUCUCUAAACUAAUUUUAUGAAGAAGAAAGAAGAACAAUGAAAGAAAACGAGAGAAGUCGAAAAGGUGAAGCUCUCUGCAGAACAAAACUAACAGAGCAUUUUUGGUUUCUUCAUAUCACUGUCUUAAAAUUGCACACACUCGGUGCUUACAUUCAGUUGGAAUCCAAGGUGGAUUCACAUUCAUUACAAAGCAAUCUCAACCCUUCAUCUAGCUAUAUGCUAGGAUCAUGACACCUGGCAUUAUUUGCCUUACAACUAUAUAUCUUCUCACUUAGAAUUUUAUCAUAAGUGCCUACACAUUUUAAUAUCACAACUUAUUUCAAUAACAGCAAUAGACUUAUAGUUCAACAAUGCAAACACUUUGCUAUACAAAAGAAUGAAUAGAGUGGGUAUGUGCUUGCAUAUCUUUUCGGUGAUGACAUUAGUUCUAUAAUAUUGGUCAAGGAAAUAUAUUAAAAAAAAAAAAAGGUGUCGG